UAAAAAACUAACAAAAGCAACUGCCCCUGAAACUGUGAAACAUCUCCCUCUCUCAAUGACUGAUUGCUUACCUUCACUCAAACUACUCUCUCAGUGCCUGAGUGCUUACCCUCACUCAAACACAUUCUCUAUGGACUUUGAGAACCAUGCACCGAUCUCGUUCUUUUUUUCUGGAUCUUGCUCUCACAUCUCCAUCAUUCCAUCUUCUUCAUUGCUCGAAUCUCUUCUCACUUUUCAUCUCAGUCUUAAUCACGAUUUGAAUCUUUUUCUCGAACAAGUUUGUGCUGAUUUCGAUUGAAAUCUAAAUCGCUCUCUAGUCAUAAGAUACAGUCGUGGUAUCCGCCAUCAGUGAUGAGCACACCGAGCUCAUCAAAGCCUGCCACAUCUUCCGGUCAUUUCCUCUGAUCUCUUUUCUGAGUGACAGAUCACUGUACAUGAGUCACUGCACCAAGAACAACUCAAGGUCUCAUUUUCAUAUCAUUAGUGAUUGAUAACAGUGAA